rfam:Salmo salar isolate Sally breed double haploid chromosome ssa10, whole genome shotgun sequence.
UACACUCACUACUGUAAGUCACUCUGGAUAAGAGUGUCUGCUAAAUGACUAAAA